AUUGAACGCUGGCGGCAGGCCUAACACAUGCAAGUCGAGCGGUAGAGAGACGCUUGCUUCUCUUGAGAGCGGCGGACGGGUGAGUAAUGCCUAGGAAUCUGCCUGGUCGUGGGGGAUAACGUUCGGAAACGGACGCUAAUACCCCAUACGUCCUACGGGACAAAGCAGGUGACCUUCGAGCCCUGCGCUUUCAGAUGAGCCGAGGCCGGAUUAGCUAGUUGGUGGGGUAAUGGCUCACCAAGGCGACGAUCCGUAACUGGUCUGAGAGGAUGAUCAGUCACACUGGAACUGAGACACGGUCCAGACUCCUACGGGAGGCAGCAGAGGGGAAUAUUAGACAAUGGGAGAAAGCCUGAUCCAGCCAUGCCGCGUGUGUGAAGAAAGUCUUCGGAUUGGAAAGCACUUCAAGUUGGGAGGAAGGGCAGUAAAUUAAUACGGUGCGGUGUUGACGGUACCGACAGAAUAAGCACCGGCUAACUCUGUG
rnacentral:rRNA from 1 species